rnacentral:misc_RNA from 1 species
GGGCUCAACAAGCAGAAUACAAUAUACUAUAAAAAAUUGAAAUCCAAGAUGGCGGCCGCUACAAAAUGGCGGAUAACGUAGGUUUUAUUAAUCCCAUCAAUAUGGGUAUCAAAUGAAAGGGCUCAACAAGCAGAAUACAAUAUACUAUAAAAAAUUGAAAUACAAGAUGGCGGCCGCAACAAAAUGGCGGAUAACGUAGGUUUUAUCAAUCCCAUCAACAUGGGUAUCAAAUGAAAGGUCUCAACAAGUAGAAUACAAUUUA